rnacentral:rRNA from 1 species
ACGAACGCUGGCGGCGUGCCUAACACCUGCAAGUCGAACGGGUCUGCCCUGUUUUUUGCGGGGUGGGUCAGUGGCGAACGGGUGAGUAACACGUGAGUAACCUGCCCCUCACUUCUGGAUAACCGCUUGAAAGGGUGGCUAAUACGGGGUGUUCUGGCUGUGCCGCAUGGUGUGGCUGGGAAAGAUUCACUUUUGUGGUGUUUUGGUGGGGGAUGGGCUCGCGGCCUAUCAGCUUGUUGGUGGGGUGAUGGCCUGCCAAGGCUUUGACGGGUAGCCGGCCUGAGAGGGUGGGCGGUCACACUGGGACUGAGAUACGGCCCAGACUCCUGCGGGAGGCAGCAGUGGGGGGUAUUGCACAAUGGGCGGAAGCCUGAUGCAGCGACGUCGCGUGAGGGAUGGAGGCCUUCGGGUUGUGAACCUCUUUCGCCGGUGAAGAAGGUCCUGCUCUUUGUGGUGGGGUUGACGGUAGCCGGGUUAUGAAGCGCCGGCUAACUACGUG